CAAACUUCUCAGUAUUUGAACCAUUUAUUUCUGUGCUGUGUCUCUGUGCCAUAUUUCGUGCCACAGGAUGGACCCUCCUUUGGAAAAACAGGAUAACUCUGAGAGAAUCUGAAUGAUUUAGGUUGGCAAAGACCUUUAAGAUCAUCCAGUCCAACCUUUACCACUGCCAAGGCCACCACGUUCAGCUUCUUUGUAGGAAUGUGCCACAUGGAUUUCCUUCUUCCUCUGGUGGAUUGUACAGUGGGUUUGAACUGCCUCGUGUGGUGAUGACCCACAAAGACCCUCUCAGACAUGGACCCUGGACCAUCCCAUCCUGACUGUUCACAGGUCAAUCUCCACUUAUUUGAACAGCAGCUCCCCAUAAAAUCCUAGUGCAGCCCUCUUUACAUGCAGGAUAUUUUUAUAUUGCAGCAUAUUGAAGUGUAUCUGGGAACUGAGCAAUCCCAAAUUGUGG